AGUGAACGCUGGCGGUAGGCCUAACACAUGCAAGUCGAACGGCAGCACAGUAAGAGCUUGCUCUUACGGGUGGCGAGUGGCGGACGGGUGAGGAAUACAUCGGAAUCUACUUUUUCGUGGGGGAUAACGUAGGGAAACUUACGCUAAUACCGCAUACGACCUACGGGUGAAAGCAGGGGAUCUUCGGACCUUGCGCGAUUGAAUGAGCCGAUGUCGGAUUAGCUAGUUGGCGGGGUAAAGGCCCACCAAGGCGACGAUCCGUAGCUGGUCUGAGAGGAUGAUCAGCCACACUGGAACUGAGACACGGUCCAGACUCCUACGGGAUGCAGCAGUGGGGAAUAUUGGACAAUGGGCGCAAGCCUGAUCUAGCCAUACCGCGUGGGUGAAGAAGGCCUUCGGGUUGUAAAGCCCUUUUGUUGGGAAAGAAAAGCAGCAGGUUAAUACCCCGCUGUUCUGACGGUACCCAAAGAAUAAGCACCGGCUAACUUCGUG
rnacentral:rRNA from 1 species